rnacentral:rRNA from 1 species
CCUACGGGGUGCUGCAGUGGGGAAUAUUGGACAAUGGGCGAAAGCCUGAUCCAGCCAUGCCGCGUGUGUGAAGAAGGCCUUCGGGUUGUAAAGCACUUUCAGUGGGGAAGAAAGCCUUGGGGCUAAUACCCUCGAGGAAGGACAUCACCCACAGAAGAAGCACCGGCUAACUCCGUGCCAGCAGCCGCGGUAAUACGGAGGGUGCGAGCGUUAAUCGGAAUUACUGGGCGUAAAGCGCGCGUAGGCGGUCUGAUAAGCCGGUUGUGAAAGCCCCGGGCUCAACCUGGGAACGGCAUCCGGAACUGUCAGGCUAGAGUGCAGGAGAGGUAGGUAGAAUUCCCGGUGUAGCGGUGAAAUGCGUAGAGAUCGGGAGGAAUACCAGUGGCGAAGGCGGCCUUCUGGACUGACACUGACGCUGAGGUGCGAAAGCGUGGGUAGCAAACAGGAUUAGAUACCCCGGUAGUC